rfam:Nematostella vectensis strain CH2 x CH6 NEMVEscaffold_288_Cont22473, whole genome shotgun sequence.
AAAACGGCUCUUUUAAGAGCCACCAAAUCUAACAAGUGAUGGUUU